UAUAACUUAGCGACUGAAAAACAAUGGUGACCUCCAAGAGGGCUCACACUAAGGGGCACUUCUUAGGACUACUGCUGCUAGUGCACCCAUCCCUGCAGCAAGCCACCGCUGACCCACGCCUCUGCAAGAGUUCACCGAACACUGGCUGGCGGAUUCCUUACCAGCUGAGCCACAAGGGAAACCCAUGAAUAGUGGAGGAUCUUGCAAAUCAACAGUUCAAAAUUCCAGUUGCCAAGGAGAGCAAGUUUGUCCAGUUUGGGUCAGAUAUCCACACCUGCGUCACUCAGCCAUGCAGUUUAGACUACAAGUUACAUGUGUUGGAUGGCGCUGCUGUUCCAUCCCUGUGCUGGGGAGGGAGACGUUACUGUGAGCCCUGUGUUUGGCCUAAGAGGGAGGUAUCCAUUUUAUUUUAUUAUUUAGUUGCCUUUCCCCACAUGUAUGAUGACAAAAAUGUCUUCAGCCUGCCUACUUGAUCUAGUCAUUCUAUUACAACAGCCCCUGCUCUUGCCCUCUUUCAGGACCAAAAGUACAUCCAAUCCAGCUAGUGGGAUGUUAUUGUUCACUUAGUCCUGACCUCUGGAUGUAAAAUACCUAUUCUAGUUCUCAUCUAUCUGUGAUUGCUCAUGGUCUUACAAUCUAAGGACUAAAUGGUAAGUAUAAUCACUACCAGUACACUCUAUAAAUCAUAUGGGGAUUCAGGAGCCUCAAUGGUUGCUAUAGAAAGAAAGGAAAGAGAAGAAAACAGUGGCAGUUAUUUUAAAAGGGAAAAAAAUUGGGUAAUUUUUCAGUCUUCAGACCUUCCAUCCAUAUGCUCCUGCUACUGUUGAAGUUGUAACUGGUGGGCAUGACAAUCCAUUACACACUUCUUUGUUUGCAGCUAAUAUCUCAACUGACUGAGAACGUUGCCUACUAGGAUAAUUUAAGCCGUCAUUUGUAGGGGUCUAAGAUGCUUACUCCUUGGAAGGAAAGUUAUAACCAACCUACAAAGCAUAUU